AUGGCCCGCCGCAAGGUCCCCAUGAGGCUCAUCGAGAAGGCGCGGGCGCGCGCCGAGACGCACGCCAGGAGGACCAAGGGGCUGCAGAAGAAGGCGUCGGAGCUCGCCAGGCUCUGCGCUGUCCCGGUCGCGCUCGUCUGCUCCGCCGGCGCGGGGGCUCCGCCACUCGUGUGGGAGUCGGAGGAGGGAGUGCUCGAGAGGUACCGGCGCGCCGUCCCGGCGGAGGCCCGCGCGCGGCACACGCACCGGAGCUACAUGGAGACUGAGCUGGGCAAGGAGAGGGCCAAGCUCGCCCGGACGCGGCACGGCUGCCCCGGCGUGCUCGCGGACUGGGACGCCGCGCUCAACGACAUGACGCUGGACGGGGCGCGGGGGCUGCUCGACACCAUCGACGCGGCGCUGCGGGCCACGGGAGACAGGAUGGAGGCGCUGGGC
rnacentral:rRNA from 1 species